rnacentral:rRNA from 2 species
GAAGCUAAUACCGGAUAGGAUCUUCUCCUUCAUGGGAGAUGAUUGAAAGAUGGUUUCGGCUAUCACUUACAGAUGGGCCCGCGGUGCAUUAGCUAGUUGGUGAGGUAACGGCUCACCAAGGCAACGAUGCAUAGCCGACCUGAGAGGGUGAUCGGCCACACUGGGACUGAGACACGGCCCAGACUCCUACGGGAGGCAGCAGUAGGGAAUCUUCCGCAAUGGACGAAAGUCUGACGGAGCAACGCCGCGUGAGUGAUGAAGGCUUUCGGGUCGUAAAACUCUGUUGUUAGGGAAGAACAAGUACGAGAGUAACUGCUCGUACCUUGACGGUACCUAACCAGAAAGCCACGGCUAACUACGUGCCAGCAGCCGCGGGUAAUACGUAGGUGGCAAGCGUUAUCCGGAAUUAUUGGGGCGUAAAACACGCGGCAGGCGGUUUCUU